CGGACGGGUGAGUAAUGUCUGGGAAACUGUCUGAUGGAGGGGGAUAACUACUGGAAACGGUAGCUAAUACCGCAUAACGUCGCAAGACCAAAGAGGGGGACCUUCGGGCCUCUUGCCAUCGGAUGUGCCCAGAUGGGAUUAGCUAGUAGGUGGGGUAACGGCUCACCUAGGCGACGAUCCCUAGCUGGUCUGAGAGGAUGACCAGCCACACUGGAACUGAGACACGGUCCAG
rnacentral:rRNA from 1 species